CACACAAGUAAAGCAAUCAGAUAUAUAAGAAUACACAAAGGAUUUUAUCGAGGUUCACCCAAUAAACUGGGCUACAUCCUCGUUGAGCUCGCCUAAGAGGAAGACUUGCUCUUGCACUAAAUCAAUGGAGUUUAUACACAGAUGCUGAGAUUCCAAGCCACAUAAACAACUGCACAAGAUGGAUCUCUCUAAAGACCAGAACUUUCUUUUUCCUUGGAGUGAUUUCACUUCUCUGCUUGUUGUAAGUCUCUUUAGGUCUCUUGUUUUGGCAGUGCAUAUAUAUAUAUAUAUAUAUAUAUAGAGAGAGAGAGAGAGAGAGAGAGAGAGAUAAGUUGAGUCGAUGUAGCUGAGAGAGGUUGGAAGUUGAAGUCUUUGAAGAGUUUGUUAUAAAUCUGUUUUUGCUGAGUU